rnacentral:rRNA from 2 species
CUGGCGGCGUGCCUAAUACAUGCAAGUCGAACGAGUUCUCGUUGAUGAUCGGUGCUUGCACCGAGAUUCAACAUGGAACGAGUGGCGGACGGGUGAGUAACACGUGGGUAACCUGCCCUUAAGUGGGGGAUAACAUUUGGAAACAGAUGCUAAUACCGCAUAGAUCCAAGAACCGCAUGGUUCUUGGCUGAAAGAUGGCGUAAGCUAUCGCUUUUGGAUGGACCCGCGGCGUAUUAGCUAGUUGGUGAGGUAAUGGCUCACCAAGGCGAUGAUACGUAGCCGAACUGAGAGGUUGAUCGGCCACAUUGGGACUGAGACACGGCCCAAACUCCUACGGGAGGCAGCAGUAGGGAAUCUUCCACAAUGGACGCAAGUCUGAUGGAGCAACGCCGCGUGAGUGAAGAAGGCUUUCGGGUCGUAAAACUCUGUUGUUGGAGAAGAAUGGUCGGCAGAGUAACUGUUGUCGGCGUGACGGUAUCCAACCAGAAAGCCACGGCUAACUACGUGCCAGCAGCCGCGGUAAUACGUAGGUGGCAAGCGUUAUCCGGAUUUAUUGGGCGUAAAGCGAGCGCAGGCGGUUUUUUAAGUCUGAUGUGAAAGCCCUCGGCUUAACCGAGGAAGCGCAUCGGAAACUGGGAAACUUGAGUGCAGAAGAGGACAGUGGAACUCCAUGUGUAGCGGUGAAAUGCGUAGAUAUAUGGAAGAACACCAGUGGCGAAGGCGGCUGUCUGGUCUGUAACUGACGCUGAGGCUCGAAAGCAUGGGUAGCGAACAGGAUUAGAUACCCUGGUAGUCCAUGCCGUAAACGAUGAAUGCUAGGUGUUGGAGGGUUUCCGCCCUUCAGUGCCGCAGCUAACGCAUUAAGCAUUCCGCCUGGGGAGUACGACCGCAAGGUUGAAACUCAAAGGAAUUGACGGGGGCCCGCACAAGCGGUGGAGCAUGUGGUUUAAUUCGAAGCAACGCGAAGAACCUUACCAGGUCUUGACAUCUUUUGAUCACCUGAGAGAUCAGGUUUCCCCUUCGGGGGCAAAAUGACAGGUGGUGCAUGGUUGUCGUCAGCUCGUGUCGUGAGAUGUUGGGUUAAGUCCCGCAACGAGCGCAACCCUUAUGACUAGUUGCCAGCAUUUAGUUGGGCACUCUAGUAAGACUGCCGGUGACAAACCGGAGGAAGGUGGGGAUGACGUCAAAUCAUCAUGCCCCUUAUGACCUGGGCUACACACGUGCUACAAUGGAUGGUACAACGAGUUGCGAGACCGCGAGGUCAAGCUAAUCUCUUAAAGCCAUUCUCAGUUCGGACUGUAGGCUGCAACUCGCCUACACGAAGUCGGAAUCGCUAGUAAUCGCGGAUCAGCACGCCGCGGUGAAUACGUUCCCGGGCCUUGUACACACCGCCCGUCACACCAUGAGAGUUUGUAACACCCGAAGCCGGUGGCGUAACCCUUUUAGGGAGCGAGCCGUCUAAGGUGGGACAAAUGAUUAGGGUG